GGCUGCAGUGGGGAAUAUUGCACAAUGGGGGAAACCCUGAUGCAGCGACGCCGCGUGAGUGAAGAAGUAUUUCGGUAUGUAAAGCUCUAUCAGCAGGAACGAGACAAGACGGUACCUGACUAAGAAGCCCCGGCUAACUACGUGCCAGCAGCCGCGGUAAUACGUAGGGGGCAAGCGUUAUCCGGAAUCACUGGGUGUAAAGGGAGCGUAGACGGCUGAGCAAGCCUGAAGUGAAAGGCGGGGGCCCAACCCCCGGACUGCUUUGGGAACUGUACGGCUGGAGUGCAGGAGAGGUAAGUGGAAUUCCUAGUGUAGCGGUGAAAUGCGUAGAUAUUAGGAGGAACACCAGUGGCGAAGGCGGCUUACUGGACUGUAACUGACGUUGAGGCUCGAAAGCGUGGGGAGCAAACAGGAUUAGAUACCCUAGUAGUCC
rnacentral:rRNA from 1 species